rnacentral:misc_RNA from 1 species
GAUGAAGAACGUAGCGAAAUGCGAUAAGUAAUGCGAAUUGCAGAAUUCCGUGAGUCAUCGAAUCUUUGAACGCACAUUGCGCCCGCCAGUAUUCUGGCGGGCAUGCCUGUUCGAGCGUCAUUUCAACCAUCAAGCCCCAGGCUUGUGUUGGAGCCCUGCGGCUGCCGCAGCCUCCCAAAACCAGUGGCGGGCUCGCUAUCACACCGAGUGCAGUAGUUUACUCUUCGCUCAGGGCGUGUGGCGGGGGCUAGCCGUAAAACCCCCAACUUCUCAAGGUUGACCUCGGAUCAGGUAGGAAUACCCGCUGAACUUAAGCAUAUCAAUAAGCGGAGGA